rnacentral:hammerhead_ribozyme from 1 species
GCGCUGCUGACGAGUCCCACAAUAGGACGAAACGGCCGUCCAGUGC